UCGACCGACACGAAUCUUAAGCCGCGGGCGC
rnacentral:sRNA from 1 species